rnacentral:lncRNA from 1 species
AGCGAACGCGAGCUGCCCUGCUGUGUGCCCAGGCGCGGAUCCAAGCAACCUUGAUCACCGCUGCGGGCGUAUGAGGGUCACCGAGGCGGCUGGUUCCUGAGUGCACGUUUUGCGCUUUUGAUUGCUAAGUGGAGGGGCCAAAAUACACAGAAGGGAGACACGCACAGCCACCUCUUGGUGGGGAACACGGUCAGGCAGAUCCCGGAGUGCGUUAAACAGCAACGCGUGCCUGGUGCUGCAAGGGGUUUUGCUGGCAGGGACAUCGGAAAGAAGGGCGGAGAGGGCUGAUAGCUAAAGGUGGGGCAGCAGAUCUUUUUAAUCUCAAAACCGAAAAGAAAAUUAUCUAGUGCGUCUACAUGCAGGGUCGCAUAAACUGCUGGGGGAAAAGGAAAGUUGCAGCCUCUGGGAUCCUCUGUGCGAGCGAUGUCUUCUCUGGCGGAGCAGGAUGAGUCGCAGCGGAGGAUGGUAGCGGUCCCUGCCUUCUGCUCCUGCUGCGCCCGGAAACCUGAGAGCCCGAGCUCGCCUGUGCACGCGGCUGCUUCAAAACCCGCUUCCAGCUUACCUAACUGUAAACUUUGCUUCCCAGAGGCUGGAAGGCGUCCUGAGCAGCUGUUUCCCAAGCUGUGAACAUUUCCUUUCCCCUAUGCACUUUCUGCUGAUUCCAACUUUACUGUAUUACUUCUUUUCCGUGCAAUUCAUUUUUUGACUCCAGUUCUGUAGUAUACCGCUCACAGGAUUUUCAUUUUCAUUCAAGAACGGGAGGGACUGACUCCCGAAAGGAUUAGCCUAUUCCUUUAAUAUUGGCCCCUAAAGCACUAUAUGUAUUUGAUUGAUGUUUUAGAAACUGUAAACCACGAAUGUUUAUAUAAUCGGUUGUAUCCACAAUGCCAUAUACCUGAGCAGCAACAUUUGAGAUAUUAAACAGUUCACUUGAAACAAAUAUAUAUAUAUUCUGAAUGAAUUAUAAAGGUUUUCUGAGAAACUCUGAAUGCACGAUUAAAUAACUUGUUCUAAGUUACAGGAAAAAUAAAGGGCAUUUAUUUUAAACUUCUGUGUCCCCCAUACUAUACUGGGAUGUUUGGGCCUUAAAGGCU